AUGUGUGUACCCAAGAAUCAAGGAAGAAUUGCUUUUCGUGAUAUCUGUUUCAGUUUGGCUAUGCUCGCUAAACAGGCUUGGCGUCUUAUUGAGAAUCCUGAUUCUCUAUGUGCUACUAUUCUGAAAGUCAAAUACUACCCUGAUGGUGAUUUGUUGAACACUAAUCUAAAUAAGGGUUCUUCCUUCAUCUGACAAAGUAUUAUGGCGGGUGUGACUUCUCUGAAAAGUGGUCACAUUUGGCAAGUGAGGAAUGGUCAGAAUAUUAACGUUUGGAAGGAUGCAUGGAUUCCAAAUUGUGCAAACUGA
rnacentral:rRNA from 1 species